AAAAACUUGUGAAGGCAUUUUAAUUAAGGCCAGGAGAGGCCAGUGUAGAAACCAGUGUAUAUUUCUAGGCAAAGGAGUGGAGGGAGGAAACACAACGAUGCUGCAGGGUGAAGGAGUUCAGCCAAGAGUCCAAGUGGGGCCGUGAGGGAGGGUGCUGAGGCGGCAGGGCUCGAGGUAUCCUGGUCGAGGAGACAAAUUGCCUCCUGCUUUACUUUCACUCCUGCUCCAGUGACCCUCAAGAGACCAGGCAGUGAGCCUGUCUUUAGGUUUGAUGGAUUUUCUGGUUGGAGAAACUUGAGAAUUUUAAUUGUGGCAACCAAACCGAUUUACUUGCAGAAUGCUGGGCUGAGUCUGGCUUGCCUGAGUCUUCUGUAAGAAACCAAGAGGAGCUAGAGGUGUGCGUGUCUGGUGGAGACGAGAAACCCAAGCCAGGCUGUUGACAAUUGGAAAAGUUCAUGUAAAAAUCCAGACUUCUGAUUUUUCUUGACAAAUGAAAAGAUCUGGCAACCCUGAGCCUGCGUUCUGUGUGGCAGCCAUGGAUCACAUCCAAGAUACUACGUUAUCUAGUUGUCAUGCUUCUUUAGGCUCCUCUUGACUGUGAUAGUUUCUCAAAAUUUCCUUGUUUUUGAUGACUUUAGUAGUGUGGGGGAGUACUGGCCAGUUAUUUUGUAGACUGACCUUCAGCUGGGAUUUGUCUGAUGUUUUUCUCACGAUCUGACUUGGAGUAUGGAUUUUUGGGGGAGGAAGACCACAGAGGUGAAGCACUGUUCUCAUCACAUCAUAUCAAGAGUAUGUAUAUCGACAUGACUUGUUACUGUUGAUGUUGACCUGAUAACCUGGCUAAGAUAGUAUUUGACAGGUUUCUGCACUGUAAAGUUACUCCCCCCACUACUUUCCAUACUGUUCUCUUUGGAAGGAAGUCACUAUGGGCAAUCUACAACUUAAGGAUUGAGGAGUUAUGCACCACCUCCUUGAAGGCAGAGAGUAUCUACACAUGUUAUUCGGAAUUCUUCUACAUGGGAGAUUUAUCUAUUAUCCCUCAUUUAUCUAAUUAUUCAAUUAUUUAUUCAUAUUAGUAUGUACUAAUGGUUUCCAAAAUUAUGUACUAAUAUUGAAUAUUCAUUUUAUACUUUGGGUUAUAAUGAAUAUUCAUUUUAUACUUUGGGUUAUAAUAUGAUAAUGUCUUAUUUUCUCGUUCAAAUUGUUACAACUUUAGCCAUUAGGAGCUCUUUCAAUUGGCUCCCGUGUUCCUUUGUGUUCUCUACUGCACCACCUCCCCCUAUCAUUGUGGAGUUUUGAGUACUUCCUUACUUUUUGGCAUUAUAAGAUGCUCCUGGACCAUCCUGUAUAUUUCCCGCCCCAGUUCUAGAAUCAACCAUUUCUCUGAGGUGACCUGGUCCUUUUAUUGGAGAAUGGUAUUAGAAACCAAGAUCUGGGUGCUAGGUGUGCUCAUUGCUACUGGGACGUCAUUGCUUCUACAUCCUCUCAGCUGACAUAGCAAGGAAAUAGAUGUGUAUACUAACCCAUGUAUGUACGUAUAUCUAUAAAUAUUUCCAUAUGUAACCAUCUGUAUCAAUAUUAAGUUAAGCAUGAUUUCCCACUUAUGUCUUCAAUUCUAAUUCAUUACCACAUGGAUCAUUCUAGCCUUCUCUUAUUUGUCUAUAAACAUCUAUUCCAACAAUAAGAAAUCUGGCUCCCACCAUCUUCCAUUCAUUUAAUUAUUCAAUUCCAAUGUACAUGUGUUUUCAACCACCCACUUUUUAAAGUAGGAAUUUAAUUAUUCCCAAACUACUUAUUUCACAUAUCCAAGAUUCCAUAAAGGACUUUAUGAUACUCUGUCCUUACAGUCCCUGACCUGUGCCAACCCAGUUUGCCAAACUAAAAUGCCAAUUCUCACAUUGAUGUCCUCUCCAGGAUUUGGGUUGAUUGUUUUUUUCUGGUCUCUUUCCAGCUGAAAUGUCCUUCUGUAGGUCUACUGACAAGAAUGCAUCAUCCCAGAUAUUCCCUGAGUAACAAACCCUUAUUCUACCAAAUCUAUGCCUAAAUGGUUGAGCAGGUGGUAUAAAAGGUAGAGCUUGUCUCUGCUGGGAGAGAGGAGUGCGUUCUCCACAUUCUUCCUCACAAAGUUCUCAGAAGCCACUUUGGCUGUAAUGAGAGAUAGAAGUAUCCCUUAAUGGUGUGUUCCCAUAUCACCACACACCACACCGCCUGAGGCAACACCGCUAUAAAUAGCACUUGGUCUCCUUACUAGUCCACCACAGCCGAGUUAACCCAGACAUGAUGGAGACUUGGUGGGAAGAGGAAAAAGCAGAAAAACAAAUAAAGCGAGAAGAGGAGAGGAAAAAGGACAAUGGAGAAAGGGCAGUGAUGAUAUUAAUAACGUAUAUAAUUAAUGAUUUUAAUAAUUACUUACAUUUGCAAAAAACUUGAACAUGCAUGGUUUCAUUUAUUUCAUUAAGUAUAAUGACUCAUAAAAGUAUAUAUUUAGUUUUAACCUAUAUCUUAGGUUAUUGGCUUUUGUGUGUUCUAGAUUUAGGGAUAGGUACAUGAUCCAAGCUGCGCCAAUGAGAGUUGGCUCUGGGACUAUUGCUAGAACUGUUGGAAAAGAAGCGUGUUCUCUUUCCAUUGGGAUUAUACAGUAAGUGUGAAUGGAUGGUCAAUAUAUCUAGUUAUUUGUUUGCUUAUUUAUUUGUUUAUAUGCAUAGAAGAAGAUCUGAAGACAGUAUCCCAAAAUGUUAACAUCAAUUAAUUUUUGGUGAUAGGGUAAUUGGUGAUAUUUAUGGUUU